rnacentral:rRNA from 1 species
ACGCUCGACACUACGGUAGGCAGCAGUUGGGAAUAUUGGACAAUGGAGGGAACUCUGAUCCAGUGACGCCGCGUGAAGGAAGAAGGUCUUCGGAUUGUAAACUUAUUUUAUCAGGGAAGAAAGAAAUGACAGUACCUGAAGAAGAAGGACCGGCUAACUACGCGCCAGCAGCCGCGGUAAUCUGAGCGGGCUGGCAAGGC